GGGACGAACGCUGGCGGCGUGCUUAACACAUGCAAGUCGAACGGUGAAGCCUUUCGGGGUGGAUCAGUGGCGAACGGGUGAGUAACACGUGAGUAAUCUGCCCUUGACUCUGGGAUAACUUCGGGAAACCGUGGCUAGUACCGGAUAUGACGCAUGGUCGCAUGGUCUGUGUGUGGAAAGAUUUAUUGGUCAGGGAUGAGCUCGCGGCCUAUCAGCUUGUUGGUGGGGUAAUGGCCUACCAAGGCGACGACGGGUA
rnacentral:rRNA from 1 species